UGUCUGGUUCUUUACAGGAAGAGUUUGCCCAACCUGGGUCCAGGCAUGGGAAACGGGAGUAGGAAUGUGACGUGGGGGACAGGAUAACUGCCUCCAGCUCAGUGGAGAUGAAAGAAAAGAGGAGAGAAAAAGAACCACAAGAGAAAGCCAGUUCUGAACUGCAACUGCCUCCCAAGAGUCAGGAUCCUGGACCUCCCACGACCUGUAGAACAUCAACUUUGAGUCACAAGGACAUGAGUAUUCAAAUAAAUACAUGGCAUGGUACAUGUUGGGGAAAUAGUAGCUACAGAGUCUUCUGAGUAGAUCCAGGUAAAGGACUGUGGUUUAUUUCCCCUGUGUCACCCUGCCCCCUGUCUCAUAUAUCCAGGGUUGCUUUUUUUUCUGAAGGAGAUUUUUUUAAAAAGGAAGAAAGAAUGGAAGAAAGGAAAAAGGCUUCCGUGUGAAUGAAAUAACAUCCCAUUCUCAGGCAUUAAUCAGAAUCAAUACAGUAGACUCCCCUUAUCCAUGGCAGACACGUUCCAAGACCAUUGAUCAGUGGAUCAUGCCCAGUAGAUGCCUAAAACUGCAAAUAGUACCAAACCCCAUGUAUCCGAUGUCUUUUCUUUUCCUAUACAUACAUAUCUGUGAUGAAGUUUAAACACAAAGAGAUUAACAAGAAUAACAAAUAGUGAAAUAGAACAAUUAUAACAAUAUGCCAGCGUCACUACUCUUGUGCUGUGGGGCUGUUACUAAGUGAAAUAAGGGUGACUUGAACAUGAGCACUGUUGUAUUGUGACAGUCGGAUGCGCUGGACAAAGGGAGGACUGACGUUCCAGGCAGGACGGAGCGGGAUGGCACGAGACUUUAUCACGCUGCUCAGAGUAGCACGCGAUUUAAACUUAUGAAUUGUUUAUUUCCGGAAUUUUCCAUGUAAUAAAUAUUUUCAAACCACUGUUGACGUCAGUAACUGAAAUCACAGGAAGUGAAACCACAGAUAAAGGGAGACUACUGUACUCCUAAAAUAGCACCCUCCCUUUCCUCCUAUCCAGGUCCACUCUCCACACCUACAAAGAGAUUUUCGGAUUUCUGGACAGUGUUAAUCUCCCCUCUCCUGUGCUCCUAGGAGUGCUGCUAGUCCCCCUUUGAUGGCACCCAGGCGAUCCUUCCCUGCACCCUGGUUGUGUCUCCUUCACCAGGCUGUGAACUCCCUGGGCACUAGAACUGAGUAUUAUCCAUGUCAGAAUUCCCCUCAGAAGCUGGCACAGGACAGGAGCUUAGUAAGCAUUUGUUGAAAUAGUGAAUUUUAUUUGACUGGUGUGACAUAACCCUCUCCCUUUCUUGGCAGCUUUUAAAACCCUUGGAAUCUCACCAAUGAUAGUGUCUUUUUUAUGCUAACGCGUGACUGACAGCUGGGGGUUCCUGGAUAGCCUAGGGAUGGGAGCUGUUUGCCAGGGAAUCAACCAUGAGAUAAGAGGGUUGGAGCUUUCAGCCCUACUCACUCCACCCCACCCCACCCCAUCCCACCUCCAGGAAGAGGAGGGAGAGUGAAGGCUGAGUCAAUGAUCAAUGCCUCAUGAUUUAAUCAGUCAUGCCUCUGUAAUGAAACCUCCACAAAAACCCUAAAGGAAGAGGUUUGGAGAGCUUCUGGGUUGGUGAACACAUGCAGGUACUGGGAGGGGGGUGCCCCAGAGAGUGCAAGGAGGCUCUGUGCCCCUUUCCACAUACCUUGCCCAAUGCAUCUCUUCCAUCUAGCUGUUCGUGAGUUGUAUCCUUUCAUAAUAAAUGGUAAUCUGAUAAGUAAAUUAUUUUCCUGGUUUCUGUGAGCCAUUUUAGCGUAUGAUCAAACCAGAAGACGGUGUCAUGGGAACCUCCGAUUUAUGGCUGUUCGGUCAGAAGCACAGGUGAUAACUGGGACUUGUCAUUGCUGUCUGAAAUGGGAGCAGUCUUGUGAGAUUGAACCCUUAACCCGUGGGAUCUGAUGCUAUCCCCUGGUAAAUAGUGUCGGACUUUAAUUGAGUUGUAGCCAUCCAUUUGGUGUCCACCGAGAAUGAAGAAUUGGUUAGUGUGAGAAAAAAUCUCACACAUUUGGUGGUGGAAAGUACUGGUGUGAGUCUAGUCGUAUAAUUACUACUAUGUAAUUAGACUGGUUCACAAAUCUAAUUAUGUACAAGGUCAAAUUGUCUCCCAGGCUAUUUGCCCAAAGAUCUUUGCCAAAUAUUUCUCAUUUUUGCUCAGGCAAUGGCCACAGGCUGAGAUGUGGCCUGCAUCCAAUGGCAUUAUUAAAUACUGAUCUGCUUUGCACGUGUUCCCAGCGUAAGAGUAAAAACCCAAAAAGUGAUGCUAUGACCACCUGUCUGGACAUAGAAAGCCAGGGAAACAGAAUCUGCGAUUAGGCCAGCACAGGAGAGAGUUCUGGAUCUGUGGAUGAGGAUAUCAUAGUCUUAUCCUUAGAGCAGCCAUAUCCUGCUACCUUGAACAAGCCACUUACUUUCUCUGUGCCACGUGCCUCAUUCUGUCCAAGAAGGAAAAUGAUCCCUAUCCCGUCUAUCUUAUAGACUCUCUUCCAGUUUCAUUCCCCUUUAAAAUCCCUGUCCCUCAUCUAGGAGAUUCUUCUAAAUGCACAAGUCUGAUCAUAUUAUUCCUCAGCCACCAAAUCAUUUUUGGUUUCUGAUAAGGAAAGUUCCUCCCUCCUCUCCCCACAACCCAUUGCUCUUUUGUUCUACUUUUGCAAACCAGUAUGCUGGGUGGGUGGGAGGGGUUUAUAGAAUGUAUAUGUUCAUGAAAUUAAUGUUCAUUAAAUGUUCAUGAAUCAAUUUUUAAUUUCAAAACCAGGUAAAUGAAAUGUAUUUAAGGAGGAGGAUAAUUCAAUUGCUUUUUCCUUUUGUGUGAUCUUUAAUUGGUUAUUUCUAUGGGUAAAAGUCCAUGUAAUAGAAUGCUAUUCCACCACUCAAAAUAAUUUAUAUUUACAUUCUUAAAAAAACUUUUAUAAAAUUUUAGAUUUAAAAAAAUCAGGUUACAGAUGACAUAUGCAGUAGGAUCCCACUUUUGUAAAAGAUAAAAUGGGCAAAAGUGUUGAAAAUGAGCUAGAAAUAUAAAUGCUGAGAUGUUAACAAGAUUAUCUUUGAGUGGUGAGAUCAUGGGAGUUUUCCUUCUCUAUAGCUUAACUGUAGUCUCCAAGUUAUACAAAAUGCAAGGCUUUUAGAAAAGUUGUUGUAAAUUUAAAUAAAUCUUUAGUUUCACUAUUGCCCACUGAAAAUUGUUGAAAUUCCCCUACCUGGCACUGCACAUUCUCUGAGACCCAAUCCAUUCACCUUCCCAGCUUUCUCUCUUCUACACUUCCACACACCAUGGUACCAGCAAAACUGAGCGUUUCAUCUUCACCUCGUGCCUCUAUGCCUCUGUUAGGCUGGAUCUGAAAUGUUCUUGCCACCAGCCAAACACUAGCCACCCUUUAUUGCUUCAACAUAGAAACAUGGCAUAUGUUGCUGACUGUCAAAAGCAGAUUACAUGUAUAUGUAUGUAUACAUAUACAUAUAUGCAUAUACAAGCAUGUGUGUGUACAUAUGUGUAAUACACACACACACCUUUUUAAGAAUGCUUAUUUUGAAGGAAUAAGAUUACAGGCUUGGCAGGCUUUUAUUUUCAUCUUUAAGCUAUUUUGUAUUUGCAAAACAAAGAAUAAAAGAAUUCUACAAACACCAAUUUAGAAAGAGAGGUUGAGACUUACAUUAAAAAUUUUUUAGCAGUACUUCAAGGCCAAUUCCUUGAAGCCAUUCCCAAAAGCUGCAAGGAAUUUCUGUCACCUCUAAACAAUGUAGCAAUUUGAACUUCUUUGGUGGCACUUAGUCUUCUCUCUCUUUCUCUCCUGGGCUAAGAUCAUGGGACCGCAAAGGAACAGAUCUUAUGUUCUUCUCUUUUGCUCACACUGCUCAGCACAGUGUAGCAGCUUGUUAAAUAAACAAACAAAUCGUGAGUAAGAUACUUGCUGUCAGAAGUGUUCAGGAUGACUUGAAAUCUGCAUUUGGCAGGUUAAUAUCACCGCAAGAAUAAAGACUUUUAAACCUGAAGGUAUUCAAGGCUGGAUAUCCACUUAAAGGUAUGAUAGACAUUACAGUUGUUCGCUCACAUUUAUAGUCUUCCACUUCUUGGAACACAGGAAAAUUGCACUUCACUGUUCCAUUGAAGUUAGACGUGGCCAUGUGGCUGUUUAGACCAGUGAAAUAUAAGUGAAAGAAACACAUGUCAUGCUUGAAGGAAGCAUUUAAGAGCCAGCACACAAUCGUCCACACUCUCUCAUCCCCUGCCAUGUUGAGAUGGCAGCAUUAUUACAGGAUGAUAGCAUUUCCUGCAGCCUGUCCCUGAGUACCCAUGAUGAGGAGAGUCCCCAUGCUAACAUCUAUUCCAUAUAUAAAAUAAGUGAGAAAUAACUUUUGUUGUAAUAUGCUGCUGAGAGACAUUAAGGAGUUGUUUGCUUCUACAGCAUAACUUAGGCUAACCUGACUAAUGCAGAAGGGAUGUUAGAAGGGAGAAGGAUUCUAAACACUUUAAAAGUGUUUAGAAUGAAUUUAGACUUUGCUAGGAACAAAUGAAUUUAGACUGCUAUAGAUAAAGCUCCAGAAAGCUCAAUGAAUUUAGACUCUGCUAUAGGUAAACUUUGAUUCUAUAUGCUAGUUAGUCAACUCAUUAUAAGUCACAGAGAUUCUCAAAUUCCUUCUUUAAUGGAAAGCAUUGCUUUCUCCUUGAACAUGGAGUUAAUGAUGCAUUCAACUGGGUGAGGUCAGGUUAUAGCAUGAUGCUGACCACUUUGGGAUUUAGCAAUGGGCUGCUCAGUUCACUUAGGGGUCACAUAAUGAGAAGAAAGCUCUGUAAGGGAUGAUGGAUGGAAGACUGAAAGCUGACCUGCAGAAAAGGGCUUUUCGCUCCUGGUAGGGGUGAUGUAGAGCAGCAGUCUGCAACCUUUUUGGCUCCAAGGACCAGUUUCAUGGAAGACAAUUUUUCCACAAACAGGAGUUGGGGGAUUAGGUUUCAGGAUGAUUCAAGCACAUUACAUUUAUUGUGCACUUUAUUUUUAUUAUUAUUACUACAUUGUCAUAUACAGUGAAAUAAUUAUACAACUCACCAUAAUAUAGAAUCACUAGAAGUCCUGAGCUUGUUUUUCUGCAACUAGACAGCCUCAUCUGGGGGUGAUGGGAGGCAGUGACAGAUCACCAGGCAUUAGAUUCUCAUAAGGAGCAUGCAACCUAGAUCCCUCGCAUGCACAGUUCACAAUAGGAUUUGUGCUCCUAUGAGAAGCUAAUGCUGCCACUGAUAUGAUAGAAGGCAGAGCACAGGUGGGAAUGCAAGGGAUGGGGAGUGGCUGUAAAUACAGAUGAAGCUCCGCUCACUCACCCACCACUCACCUUUUGUGCAGCCUGGUUUCUUUCUUUCUUUGUUUCUUCCUUCCUUCCUUCCUUUCUUUCUCUCUCUCUUUUUUUUUUUUUUUAAUUGUAGGAAUCUCACUCCGUUGCCCAGGCUGGAGUGCAGUGGCGCAAUCUCAGCUCACUGCAAGCUCUGCCUCCCAGGUUCAGGCCAUUCUCCUGCUUCAGCCUCCCGAGUAGCUGGGACUACAGUCACCCGCCACCAUGCCCGGCUAACUUUUUUGUGUUUUUAGUAGAGACGGGGUUUCACCAUGGUAGCCAGGAUGGUCUCGAUCUCCUGACCUCGUGAUCCACCCGCCUCAGCCUCCCAAAGUGCUGGGAUUGCAGGCAUGAGCCACUGCACCCGGCCACAGCCUGGUUUCUAACAGGCCACAGAUGGAUACUGGUCUGUGGGCCAGGAGUUGGGGACUCCUAAUGUAGAGAAUCUUCUACUUGCAGAAGCCUAAGAUGCCAGUAAAAAGUUUAGGAUGAGCCAACAGCCACACAGACACACACACACACUCAUACACACAAAGACUUACAGCACACACACUUACUACAUGGAUUUUAAAACUGGCAAAGAAAGGCAGGCUAAGGCCUGGCAGGUCCGAGCUUGCCCCAGAAUAAGAGCAACUAGAGUUUGUGUCCCUGAAAAAGCUCAUAUAUGGUACUUGAAAUGAAAAUGACGUGAAUUCUUACACUGAAAUCUUAUCUUUUGGCUUCUUAUCUCCAGCCUUUGCCCACCGCUAAAUAAUCAGAUCCAGGGAAGCAUCAAAAGUCAAAGAAAGGAUGAAGAGAAGUUGCUUCCAGCAACAGUGGGUGGGGCUUUCCAUUUAAAUUCUGCCUUCAACUUCCAAAAAAUAUCCUCUUGGGAAACUUAUUACUCAUGAAAAUGAAGAGAAGGUGUUUUCCUCCAUGGAGCAAUCUCUGCCUUGAAAAGUCUCCAUCCCUCUUCCUAGCCCAGAGAGAUGAUCCCACAAGGAAGUGGAUUUUGUUGCUUAAUCCUAGUUAACUGAAUUCUGUUUUCCCACAAUAAAAUAAUAAAAGUAAUUUGGAAUAGCAUAACCUGAAUGUUCAUAUUUCCACAGCCUGUGAUUAAAAAUUAGAAAUAAAAAAUCUUGAAAUUC